UACGUAGGGUGCGAGCGUUAAUCGGAAUUACUGGGCGUAAAGCGUGCGCAGGCGGCCGAGCAAGUCGAGUGUGAAAGCCCCGAGCUUAACUUGGGAACUGCGCUCGAAACUACUUGGCUAGAGUGUGGCAGAGGGAGGUGGAAUUCCACGUGUAGCGGUGAAAUGCGUAGAUAUGCGGAGGAACACCGAUGGCGAAGGCAAUCCCCUGGGCCUGCACUGACGCUCAUGCACGAAAGCGUGGGGAGCAAACAGG
rnacentral:rRNA from 1 species